CGAACGCUGGCGGCAGGCUUAACACAUGCAAGUCGAGCGGGCAUAGCAAUAUGUCAGCGGCAGACGGGUGAGUAACGCGUGGGAACGUACCUUUUGGUUCGGAACAACACAGGGAAACUUGUGCUAAUACCGGAUAAGCCCUUACGGGGAAAGAUUUAUCGCCGAAAGAUCGGCCCGCGUCUGAUUAGCUAGUUGGUGAGGUAAUGGCUCACCAAGGCGACGAUCAGUAGCUGGUCUGAGAGGAUGAUCAGCCACAUUGGGACUGAGACACGGCCCAAACUCCUACGGGAGGCAGCAGUGGGGAAUAUUGGACAAUGGGCGCAAGCCUGAUCCAGCCAUGCCGCGUGAGUGAUGAAGGCCCUAGGG
rnacentral:rRNA from 1 species